UUGUGCUAAGUGGGGAGCUAGCGGUGCCCUGUACCCGAAAUCCGCUUAUGCGGGACUGAAUUCUCUCUUUAGGAUUUAAUUUGAAAUCAUCAGACACUUAGAUCGGUCGCCGCGCAACAGACGGUCGCGAACCUCGUCAGGUCCGGAAGGAAGCAGCGAUAAGCGAUUCAGACUGUGUCGCGGAUCGAUCCCGAUCAAACAGUGAAUGGUGGUUGCAAAGCAAUUUCGACAGAGAGUGCACAA
rnacentral:SRP_RNA from 1 species